rnacentral:rRNA from 1 species
UCUGUGGAUCAGUGGCGAACGGGUGAGUAACACGUGAGCAACCUGCCCUUGACUCUGGGAUAAGCGCUGGAAACGGCGUCUAAUACCGGAUAUGAGCUGCGAUCGCAUGGUCAGCAGUUGGAAAGAUUUUUCGGUCUGGGAUGGGCUCACGGCCUAUCAGCUUGUUGGUGAGGUAAUGGCUCACCAAGGCGUCGACGGGUAGCCGGCCUGAGAGGGUGACCGGCCACACUGGGACUGAGACACGGCCCAGACUCCUACGGGAGGCAGCAGUGGGGAAUAUUGCACAAUGGGCGAAAGCCUGAUGCAGCAACGCCGCGUGAGGGAUGACGGCCUUCGGGUUGUAAACCUCUUUUAGCAGGGAAGAAGCGAAAGUGACGGUACCUGCAGAAAAAGCGCCGGC